rnacentral:rRNA from 1 species
CAGUCGCCGCGGGAAUACGUAGGGUGCAAGCGUUAAUCGGAAUUACUGGGCGUAAAGCGUGCGCAGGCGGUUAUAUAAGACAGAUGUGAAAUCCCCGGGCUCAACCUGGGAACUGCAUUUGUGACUGUAUAGCUAGAGUACGGCAGAGGGGGAUGGAAUUCCGCGUGUAGCAGUGUAAUGCGUAGAUAUGCGGAGGAACACCGAUGGCGAAGGCAAUCCCCUGGGCCUGUACUGACGCUCAUGCACGAAAGCGUGGGGAGCAAACAGGAUUAGAUACCCCGGUAGUCCCUGUCUCUUAUAC